ACAAGCGGUGGAGCAUGUGGUUUAAUUCGACGCAACGCGAAGAACCUUACCAGGGCUUGACAUCCCCUGACCGCGUAUGAAAGUACGUUUUCACCCUCGGGUGACAGGGAGACAGGUGGUGCAUGGUUGUCGUCAGCUCAUGUCGUGAGAUGUUGGGUUAAGUCCCGCAACGAGCGCAACCCCUGUGGUUAGUUGCCAGCAAGUAGCGUUGGGCACUCUAGCCAGACUGCCGGUGAUAAAUCGGAGAAGGUGGGGACGACGUCAAAUCAUCAUGCCCUUUAUGUCCUGGGCUACACACGUACUACAAUGGCCGUUACAACGGGAAGCGAAGGAGCAAUCCGGAGCAAAUCCCUUAAAGGCGGUCCCAGUUCAGAUUGUGGGCUGAAACUCGCCCACAUGAAGGCGGAAUUGCUAGUAAUUGCAGAUCAGCAUGCUGCAGUGAAUACGUUCCCGGGCCUU
rnacentral:rRNA from 1 species